AAUUUCUUCUCUUAAAUUGUAGCAUUUUUUUUGUGUAUGGACAAGUUUCCUGAGUGAACCAUGAGCGGCGGCGGCAGAGGCGGCGAUUUGGCUUUUUUUAAAUUGGGGUAUAUCCAAAAUGAAGAGAAAUUAUCCUUCUGGAAGCGACAAAAGAAAGGAAAAAAAAGCAGAAGAGGAGGAAAAGUAGCAAGACAGCGGUCAAUCUUGACUCUGGUGGUUGACGGACGGAAAAGGUGAUGAUGUCGAGUCGAGUCAAGGGUGCUGCAUCAUGGACAAACGACCAAAAAAACAUCAGGUGCCCAGUUCAGGAAGAGAAGGAAAGAAGAAGAGGAGAAACGUUCAAAAGAUAAAGGGGCACUUCUGAAAUAUUUUGGAGCAGCAGCUCCCACUGGACAAAAUGAGGAGCCACCUACCUCUGCAGCCACACAGGCC